GCUUGAGCUUGUCGAAGCUGACCACCUGCCUCAUCCACGUCUCCCCUGAGGCGGGCGAGUCCGGGUGGAUGUAGACCCGCGGUGGCACCGGAGAGUCGGCGUUGCCCGCCACCAUCCAUUUGGAGCUAUGGUACACGUACCUAUUGGCACAUUUGCUGCGCUGACCUUCCAGCAGACCGAGGUUAAAAGUCCAAAAGGAACAACCAAACAACUGUGCCCAGCGCCCUUUGUGUGUAACACAAAGAGGAAUUACGACUUCAACGUGUCAUAUUUCUCAUUUCUAGCUUACCUGUAUCGUUUGUUGUCCACGGGGAUGAUAUCCAUGGCGAUGUAAUAUUGCUGAUGUGGGUCCAAACCGGACAUUUUCACACGCAUGGCAGGGAACAUCCGCCUGAAAACCAAACGCAUCUAUUUAGAAAUACCUUGCAGUAAUGGGGGCUUUCAAUUGACUUUGCAAAAAAAAAAAAAAAAUAGUGAUGCUCACUUUGCAAUGAUUUCUUAAUUAAAUCCUUGAAUAUUUAUCUUUGACUAUAAUGUCCCCACUAUUAAUUACGUUUAACCAAAACGUGCAAAUUGGUUUUUUUUUAAAGCACACUAUUUUAUUGGCCUUUUAAUUUAAAUUGAAUUUGCAUGAACACAAACGGGCAAAACAUGACUUAGCAAAUGUCUAUACCUUCCAGCUUUCGUGAUGAUCAUCUCCGUGCCGAUCUCGUGGAAGCGUUUCCACAGGUCCGAGCCCUGUAGGUCCACGCGUGGGUCCUCGCUCCCGGUCCCGCAAACGGCUGCGAGUUGCGGACUCUCCAGGAGCGCGUCUUCGCUCUCUGUAGCACACGCGCGCACAAACACGCAAUUACUUGUUACCACGUUCCACACGUUUACUGCGUCUCCACUCCAUUUUUUUAAAAUUACAAUUGAGAAUUCUUUGUAUUAAAAAUGUAAUUCAAUUAAGUAGCUAUUAUACAAUUUUGGGGAGUUGAAAUACAGUUGAAUUUAUUGAUCAUUCUGAUAACUAAGCAUAUUUAUGAGCGUGUUUUCUUUUGUGUGUGUGUGUGUGCGUGCAGGCGGUGCAUUUGAAUGCAGACCCUGAGACUUAUUGCAUUAGAAGUGACACCGUAGACUCGCGUAUUAGGUUUCCAAGUUUCCAGUGCAUCCUGGUGCUUUUGGGUCCGUUUCUACUGCUGCUAAUUGGCGCGUUUACGACUGCAGCCAAAAGCCCAUAAAAUAAAGCAUCGACUCACAGUCAUAAUUGUCACACACUUUGCACGCCGGCCACAAGCCCAACAUGUCUUGUUUGCAUGGCUUCUAGAAUGACAAUAAUCAAGAUUAAUAAUGACGACGAUAUUGUAAGUAUCUGAUCACUAUUUUAUAUUAUAUUAUACUAACAUAGAUGUGUGUGGAAUGUAGACGUGUGUCUGAUGUAGCAGCCGAUAGCGUUGUUGAAUGUUGUGGAUGUCUCCAAAUUUUGUACAUAUUAUUCCAUCUUGUGUUCCAGUUUUUGGCAGCACUGCAAGCUUUUACUUACGGGAUCCGUCGCUGGCAUAUUCCGCCUCGCUGCCGUGCACUCUGCCCGCCGGUGGAGGCUCCGGACUGGCGGCCGUUCUCGGGACGUCGUAGCCGGGCGACGUCGCGCCUUCUCCAGCCGUCCUGCGCCUCUUCUCGGCCCCGAUGAGCGCCUCCACCGAGAAGGCGUGCGCCUUAACGCUGAGCGCGCACGGUGAACGUCGCUUCUCGGCCAUAGCUCCGAUCCCAAGUCCCGGGAAGCGACAGUGGUCAAGGCGUGUCAACCGUGUCUUGGGUACGAAGACGACGACAACGCAGAAGAGUCCCCGAAAAGUGAUGGUGAGAAGGGUCCCCGAAGUGACAUUUUGACCUCCACGACGAGCAAGCAAGUAAAUCAGGGGUCGCCAGUAUGAUGGAGCCCACCCCAGCUGACCUUGGACAAGAGGUGGGCUACAAACUGGAUUAGCCACAGCCAAUCACAGAGGAGAUGCCAAAGUUCCAAUUGUGCUGAUAACCCUAGAGAGACACACCUUUCAUUGACGGCAAUAAUAAGGUUCGUUUUCGUCCCAGAUUUCUUGUGCA